AUUUAGCAGUGCGCAUGCGCGAGUUGAGCAGCGCCAUUACAAUUAAGAGGAUCGGUGACGUAGUUCUUCAUUUCACCAAGAAAAGAUGUGGUUGAAGAUGCAUUCAAGAUGUUUCAAGACUCAAGGUUGGAUCUUCACAUCAAGCUUGCAAGAAGAAGAUUGGAAUCAGGAAUCCUUGAGAAGAUGACACUCUGAGAUGUGCGGGAAGAUGUGUGGGGAGGCAGCCCACCUGCAAGGCCUCUCCUGAAAUGGCUGCUGAAGAGACUCGAGUACAUAAAGUGCCAUAGAAGCUUUACUGUAGUGAAAUAUUGGCCAUCAUCCUGCAAUACACACAUGGUCUAAAAGAGACAUGACAAGGGUGACUCCAGGAAUGCGUCCCCAUUACAAUGUGAGCAUGAGGCGACCACGGACACAUGUUUAUGCCAGACCACAACACUGUACUAAUGAAACUCAAUGCAUGCAUCAAGGACAUUCACCAAGCCACUGCAAACAAGAUGAUGCUAAAUGCUGCAAAGCAUUGGUUAUCAUUUUACAUCAAGAUUUUUACGACAGCCACUUCCAGUCAUUUCCACCAUGGUUGGUGAUGUGAAACCAUGAAACGUAAGCCAGAAAUCUCUGUUCAGUCAUGGAUGAACAUCUACAUGUAUCACUGGAGGCCCAUCACCACCCUAUGCCGCUCUUCAAUGACUGUCAUCCAAAGAUGUUUAAAAUUUAGAAAAUAAUGAUCCGCACAAAUACACCUGGAAACUGUUUGGUUUUCCUUGGCCGUCUUGAACUAACAUGAUCUGCCAUUUGGUUGAUGCAGUAGUUUGACUCCCCAAAAUGGCAGACCAUCAUAGUUCACAAAGUAUUUGGAGAACCUCACAGUUUUAAAGUACAUAACCUCACAGUUUUAAAGUACAUUAGUUUAAUUAUCCACUAGUUUUAAAUGCUUUUCUGUCCAACCUGUAUCAUGUCAUAACAAACUUUUUCAUAGCCCAAAACGCCCAAAAGCAAUAUGUAUCUCUAAAAAAUGUACUUGAUGAAAUAAAUGAAAUCAUUGAUUGUGCUUGCUAUGAAAUGGAUGACGUUGGAAAUGUUUGAUAUGAAUGAUAAUUUUAAAACAGGUUUCCCAACCAGAUUCAUAUCCACAAACACUUCACAGUCUAAAAAGCCAAAUAUAAAAGCAAUGUGUUUCUUAAAGGUUUUAAUAAUAAUAUUGUUGAAAAUCGAGAUGUGAUGAAUUUUUAAAAAGGCAAAUUUUGAUUUUGUGUA